GUGGGGAAUAUUGCACAAUGGGCGAAAGCCUGAUGCAGCAACGCCGCGUGAGGGACGACGGCCUUCGGGUUGUAAACCUCUUUUAGUAGGGAAGAAGCGAAAGUGACGGUACCUGUAGAAAAAGCACCGGCUAACUACGUGCCAGCAGCCGCGGUAAUACGUAGGGUGCAAGCGUUAUCCGGAAUUAUUGGGCGUAAAGAGCUCGUAGGCGGUCUGUCGCGUCUGCUGUGAAAACUGGAGGCUCAACCUCCAGCCUGCAGUGGGUACGGGCAGACUAGAGUGCGGUAGGGGAGAUUGGAAUUCCUGGUGUAGCGGUGGAAUGCGCAGAUAUCAGGAGGAACACCGAUGGCGAAGGCAGAUCUCUGGGCCGUAACUGACGCUGAGGAGCGAAAGCGUGGGGAGCGAACAGGAUUAGAUACCCGUGUAGUCC
rnacentral:rRNA from 1 species